GACGAACGCUGGCGGCGUGCCUAAUACAUGCCAGUAGAACGCACAGUUUAUACCGUAGCUUGCUACACCAUAGACUGUGAGUUGCGAACGGGUGAGUAACGCGUAGGUAACCUGCCUGGCAGCGGGGGAUAACUAUUGGAAACGAUAGCUAAUACCGCAUAAUAUUAAUUAUUGCAUGAUAAUUAAUUGAAAGGUGCAAUUGCACCACUACCAGAUGGACCUGCGUUGUAUUAGCUAGUAGGUGAGGUAACGGCUCACCUAGGCGACGAUACAUAGCCGACCUGAGAGGGUGAUCGGCCACACUGGGACUGAGACACGGCCCAGACUCCUACGGGAGGCAGCAGUAGGGAAUCUUCGGCAAUGGACGAAAGUCUGACCGAGCAACGCCGCGUGAGUGAAGAAGGUUUUCGGAUCGUAAAGCUCUGUUGUAAGAGAAGAACGGGUGUGAGAGUGGAAAGUUCACACUGUGACGGUAUCUUACCAGAAAGGGACGGCUAACUACGUG
rnacentral:rRNA from 1 species